GCUGUGUUCGAGCCCUCGCUCGCACUCGCGAGUAGUAUCUGCUCUGAGUAGUAGUCGUUUCCAACUUCUCUUCCUCCUCUCUCCCAUCGGACAGCUCCAAAUCUCACUACCGCCGCCUCAGUACUCGCCGUUCGCUGGCCCCUUCCCUCUCGGCUCCGGCAUCCUCGCCGCACCGGGCAGGGAAAGGGGCCCCACCCUCCUAUACAUCCUUUAGAAGUUCUGCGAUGGGUUCUCCCCUGGUGGUCGCCUUCGUCGUCGCCGUCGCUGCUGCUGCAACUCCUGUCGCCGUUGCUGCAGCUCCUGUCGUCGCCGACGAGGCUCCAACAUAGGUACGUCUAAAUAAAAUACAUCCGCUCCUCUGCAGCACGGCUCUCCCCUCCUCCACCUCCACCUCGCCUACCUCGCGUCGCCUCCCAGUUCCGUGCUCCUCCGACCCGCAUCCACCACAUCUCGCCUUCGCCUCCACCUCUACUUUGCAGCCAUUGAUCCUACCAAUCCAGAUAGCUCCUUAUCCGGUGUUGGCGCGACGACUUCGUCUCCACCUGGGACCCGACUUGGAGCUUCAUCCUCUACCUCCGGUGACAGCAACAAACUUAUCCUUUGGUCGCUCGGCGCACGCUUCCUCACCGGCUCCGUCGCCCCACCUUCAACUGACGCUUGGCGCAAUCUUCCAUCUGGGUAUAUGCGCCAUCGGUGCCUCUACGGCCCCUCGCCGGCGAUUCCGUCGUCGUCAACGUCUCUGACAUAGCUGUUGUUCUUAUCCGGUCGUUGGACCUCGUUGUAAUUCAGUCUUCCUUAGAGGACCUUUGUGUAAAAUGGCUGCUUAAUAUAUAAUAUAUGCCGUUAUC
rnacentral:lncRNA from 1 species